UCUACGGGACGCAGCAGGCGCGAAAACUUUACAAUGCGGGCAACCGUGAUAAGGGAACCUCGAGUGCCUGUAUAUGCAGGCUGUCCAGGUGUCUAAAACACACCUGAAGAAAGGGCCGGGCAAGACCGGUGCCAGCAGCCGCGGUAAUA
rnacentral:rRNA from 1 species